CCUACGGGUGGCAGCAGUGGGGAAUAUUGCACAAUGGGGGAAACCCUGAUGCAGCAACGCCGCGUGAGUGAUGAAGUAUUUCGGUAUGUAAAGCUCUAUCGGCAGGGAAGAUAAUGACGGUAUCUGACGAAUAAGCCCCGGCUAACUACGUGCCAGCAGCCGCGGUAAUACGUAGGGUGCAAGCGUUAUCCGGAGUUACUGGGUGUAAAGGGAGCGUAGACGGGUAAUCAAGUCAGAAGUGAAAACCCAGGGCUCAACGAUAGGACUGCAUUUGAAACUGAGUAUCUAGAGUGCAGGAGAGGUAGGCGGAAUUCUUAGUGUAGCGGUGAAAUGCGUAGAGAUUAGGAGGAACACUAGUUGCGAAGGCGGCCUACUGGAACGUAACUGACGCUGAGGCUCGAAAGCGUGGGGAGCAAACAGGAUUAGAUACCCCAGUAGUC
rnacentral:rRNA from 1 species